GCGGGCGUGGCGAAAUUGGUAAACGCAAGGGACUUAAAAUCCCUCGACCGUAUGGUCUUGCCGGUUCAAGCCCGGCCGCCCGCACCA
rnacentral:tRNA from 3 species